rnacentral:rRNA from 1 species
UACGGAGGAUCCAAGCGUUAUCCGGAUUUAUUGGGUUUAAAGGGUGCGUAGGCGGAUUGAUAAGUUAGAGGUGAAAUGUCCGAGCUCAACUCGGGAACUGCCUCUAAUACUGUUGAUCUAGAGAGUAGAUGCGGUAGGCGGAAUGUAUGGUGUAGCGGUGAAAUGCUUAGAGAUCAUACAAAACACCGAUUGCGAAGGCAGCUUACCAAUCUAUAUCUGACGUUGAGGCACGAAAGCGUGGGGAGCAAACAGG